rnacentral:rRNA from 1 species
UACGUAGGGGGCAAGCGUUGUCCGGAUUCAUUGGGCGUAAAGAGCGUGUAGGCGGCCAGGUAGGUCGGUUGUGAAAACUGGAGGCUUAACCUUCAGACGUCGAUGGAAACCGUGCGGCUAGAGUCCGGAAGAGGAGAAUGGAAUUCCUGGUGUAGCGGUGAAAUGCGCAGAUAUCAGGAAGAACACCCGUGGCUAAGGCGGUGCUCUAGGACGGUACUGACGCUGAGACGCGAAAGCGUGGGGAGCGAACAGG